UACGUAGGGGGCAAGCGUUGUCCGGAUUUAUUGGGCGUAAAGAGCGUGUAGGCGGCCAUACAGGUCCGUUGUGAAAACUCGAGGCUCAACCUCGAGACGUCGAUGGAAACCGUAUGGCUAGAGUCCGGAAGAGGAGAGUGGAAUUCCUGGUGUAGCGGUGAAAUGCGCAGAUAUCGGGAGGAACACCAAUGGCGAAGGCAGCUCGCUGGGACGGUACUGACGCUGAGACGCGAAAGCGUGGGGAGCAAACAGG
rnacentral:rRNA from 1 species